GUGGAAACUGAGGCAAAGUUCAAUGACUUGAUCUUCCAGACUUCAGACUCAGUACAUCACAAAGCUGUUCCAUUGAGUCUAUCACCCAAAUUAUGAAAACUGUCUACCACAUCCCCGAAGAAGGAAAUGAAACCACAGGAAACAAGAUCUCUACUUCUUGAGAAAUUGGAGCAUCCAAGUCAGCACAGUGAGGAACAAGACACCAACAGGAUUAUUCUGAUCAUAAGCCAUCACUGGCCUCAGGGCUUUUUCAUUGCAGAAACAAACCUGAUUUCCUUCUUCAGAUUUCUAGUUUGAAUAGUCUAUUAAAGAUCUACCCUGUUCUUUUUUUCUUUUUCCAGUUCUGCUUGUUGAGAUUGUGCUAAUCAUUCUACUGUGCCAAAUCCAAAUCACAUUUUUAUGUUGCUUUAUAUAUAUCCUUCCAAUCUUGUGAUUUUUAUGUUUCCAUAAUAUACUUGUCAGUCAACAAGUGUUUAUUGAGU